AGUGAACGCUGGCGGUAGGCCUAACACAUGCAAGUCGAACGGCAGCACAGUAAGAGCUUGCUCUUACGGGUGGCGAGUGGCGGACGGGUGAGGAAUACAUCGGCAUCUACUUUUUCGUGGGGGAUAACGGAGGGAAACUUCCGCUAAUACCGAAUAUAACGAACGGGUGAAAUCAGGGGUUCUUGGGACUUUUGCUGAUUGAUUUAGCCGAUGCCGGAUUAGCUAGUUGGUGAGGUAAGGGCCCACCAAGGCAACGAUCCGAAGCUGGUCUGAGAGGAUGAUCAGCCACACUGGAACUGAGACACGGUCCAGACUCCUACGGGAGGCAGCAGUGGGGAAUAUUGGGCAAUGGGCGCAAGCCUGACCCAGCCAUGCCGCGUGGGUGAAGAAGGCCUUCGGAUUGUAAAGCCCUUUUGUUGGGAAAGAAAAGCAGCAGGUUAAUACCCCGCUGUUCUGACGGUACCCAAAGAAUAAGCACCGGCUAACUUCGUG
rnacentral:rRNA from 1 species